CUACGGGGCGCACCAGUGAGGAAUAUUGCACAAUGGGGGGAACCCUGAUGCAGCAACGCCGCGUGGAGGAUGACGCAUUUCGGUGUGUAAACUCCUUUUAUAUGUCAAGAAAAUGACGGUAGCAUAUGAAUAAGCACCGGCUAACUCCGUGCCAGCAGCCGCGGUAAUACGGAGGGUGCAAGCGUUACUCGGAAUCACUGGGCGUAAAGGAGGCGUAGACGGGCUUGUAAGUCAGGUGUGAAAUCCUACAGCUUAACUGUAGAACUGCACUUGAAACUACGAGCCUAGAGUAUGGGAGGGGGAGAUGGAAUUAGUGGUGUAGGGGUAAAAUCCGUAGAUAUCACUAGGAAUACCUAAAGCGAAGGCGAUCUCCUGGAACAUAACUGACGCUAAGGCGUGAAAGCGUGGGGAGCAAACAGGAUUAGAUACCCGGGUAGUC
rnacentral:rRNA from 1 species